rnacentral:misc_RNA from 1 species
CGGCGAGAGGAUCGGGAAGGUGAUGUAGCGGAACUGCUGCCAGCCGCUCGCGCCGUCGAGUUGCGCCGCCUCGUAGAGGGUCACGGGGAUAUUCUUCAGCCCGGCGAGAUAGAUCAGCAUCGCGCCGCCGAGGCUCCAGACACUCAUGAUCACGACCGCCGGUUUCAUCCAGAACGGAUCGACCGUCCAGGCCGGGGCGGGCA